AGAAGUGGGCAUCUGCUGACAAGAGGGCCGAAGUCAGGGGCCAGGCGGUGGGCACUUUGCAUCUUAUCUUCGGAACAUAGAUCCUCCUUGACAGCCUUGGGUGUCAGGCU
rnacentral:miRNA from 1 species